CCAGCACGGGCCAGCCGUGGUCAGGAAGCAGAGACUGGGGCAGAAGGUGCGGGGGAAGAGGUAACCGCCAGCCCCAAAGAGCGCAUAGAUGCUCUGUGCGGGGUCAGCUAGUAUUUACAUAAUUCAAAUAGGCAUCAUAUACAAUUCAAGUGGAAAAUACUGGUGCACCUUACAGAGAUAAGAGCGUAAUAUAAACUGUGUGUAAUGUAAACCUGUAAUAUAAUGUAAUGUGUAAUGUAAACUUCUCUUUUCAAUUAAUAAUGCUAGAUAAUAGUCUGAAAUAUGAGGAUAGUUUUUUGUCUGCCCAGGCAAAUGAGCCUUACAGCUGAAACCAGGCAGUCUUCAAUGAAGCCACAUACUUUAUUUUCCAGGUGAUAUGGUGAUGCUACUUACCAUCACUACAGCCAAACUAACACAGGCUGACACUCAGAGCAAGGAAGGGCCAGUGCAGCAAGAGAGCAGCCCAACAGAACUUCUAAACUAACUGUACUAAGGAAGCAGCAAUUUUUGAUGCCCUACCCUUCCCCAAUAAGCCCUCUGUGCCACCCCAAAAUAUGUCCCUGAGGGUUGCACAGCCCUUGGGGGCAUAUUUUUGGGUAGCAUAAAGACCGUCCUGCGUGGUAAAAUAGUUCAGGGAGAUUCUAAAGCUCUGUGUGAUGCUUUAGCCCCGCCCCGAAUGUUCGUGCAUCCGUUAGGAGGGGCAAUUACAGCUAGUGAUGUGCAUCAACCGGUUCAGCGUUCUAUUCCUAGAAUGCUGAAUCGGUUUGGAAACUGUUGUUCAAACCAGUUCAAACGUGGGGGCUCCUUUAAGGCACAGCGAGGGUGUCCUUACCUCCCCCACCGCGCUUCCCCCUCUGGCCUGCUUCAAAAACUGCUGGUGCGGGGUGGCUGUAUACCCUCUUGCCAUCCCAGGCAGUGUAAUACCAGAAGUGGCUCGCAUGCGUUAGUUACAGCAUCGCUAUCCUUGGUUCCUGGAUGACCGCCGAGCUUGAGCGACCAUCGUAAGAGGAACUGGAUAAGAAGACUGAAGGUCCAGCGCAUAAUGCUUAACAAAGGGGUGCUCUGAGGACCACGUGGCAGCCCUCCUGAUCUCGUCCAUCAGAUCUCCAGAUAGGCUUGACACUGAAGAGGCUACUGCCCUGGUGGAAUGGGCUUUAAUGUCUACAGGAUACGAAAAGACCUUGGAUCCUUAUGGAAGGAGUGAGACCUCUCAAGAUAAAAGGCCAUUCAAGCGUAGAUUGGGGGUCACGGAAAAAGGGAUUUGAGGUGGCAAACCAUCAAACCCCAAGCAGAAGAACCUUCCAAUGUGUCCUGUCUCAGUGGCGGAUAGAAAGGAACUGAGGAUAGCAAUGCUGUAACCGCCCCUCCGAACGGAUGCACGCACAUGCUGGGCGGGGCUAAAGCAUCAUGUGGAGCUUUAGAAUCUUCCCAAAUGAUCCUACUGUGUAGGCAUAAUCCCAGUUGUGUGAAUACACUGGGAUCAUGUCAAGGAUUUGUAUAUAUCUUAGACUUUUGUUGUUGUUUUUACCUAUUUGUAAAUAUCCAUUCUGAGUUUUUAGAUUCUUUAAAUUCUGUGCAUAUUUUCCAGCAGAUUGAAGGUUUAUAUCCUGUAAUAAAAAGAAAAGGAAGAAAAUUACAACUAAUUUUUACAAGAGAAA